rnacentral:rRNA from 1 species
GAUGAACGCUGGCGGCGUGCUUAACACAUGCAAGUCGAACGAAGCACUUAUCUUUGAUUCUUCGGAUGAAGAGGUUUGUGACUGAGUGGCGGACGGGUGAGUAACGCGUGGGUAACCUGCCUCAUACAGGGGGAUAACAGUUAGAAAUGACUGCUAAUACCGCAUAAGACCACAGAGCCGCAUGGCUCGGUGGGAAAAACUCCGGUGGUAUGAGAUGGACCCGCGUCUGAUUAGGUAGUUGGUGGGGUAACGGCCUACCAAGCCAACGAUCAGUAGCCGACCUGAGAGGGUGACCGGCCACAUUGGGACUGAGACACGGCCCAAACUCCUACGGGAGGCAGCAGUGGGGAAUAUUGCACAAUGGGGGAAACCCUGAUGCAGCGACGCCGCGUGAGCGAAGAAGUAUUUCGGUAUGUAAAGCUCUAUCAGCAGGGAAGAAAAUGACGGUACCUGACUAAGAAGCACCGGCUAAAUACGUGCCAGCAGCCGCGGUAAUACGUAUGGUGCAAGCGUUAUCCGGAUUUACUGGGUGUAAAGGGAGCGUAGACGGCUGUGUAAGUCUGAAGUGAAAGCCCGGGGCUCAACCCCGGGACUGCUUUGGAAACUAUGCAGCUAGAGUGUCGGAGAGGUAAGUGGAAUUCCCAGUGUAGCGGUGAAAUGCGUAGAUAUUGGGAGGAACACCAGUGGCGAAGGCGGCUUACUGGACGAUGACUGACGUUGAGGCUCGAAAGCGUGGGGAGCAAACAGGAUUAGAUACCCUGGUAGUCCACGCCGUAAACG